GAUGAACGCUGGCGGCGUGCCUAAUACAUGCAAGUCGAGCGAACAGACGAGGAGCUUGCUCCUCUGACGUUAGCGGCGGACGUGUGAGUAACACGUGGAUAACCUACCUAUAAGACUGGGAUAACUUCGGGAAACCGGAGCUAAUACCGGAUAACAUGUUGAACCGCAUGGUUCAACAGUGAAAGACGGUCUUGCUGUCACUUAUAGAUGGAUCCGCGCCGCAUUAGCUAGUUGGUAAGGUAACGGCUUACCAAGGCAACGAUGCGUAGCCGACCUGAGAGGGUGAUCGGCCACACUGGAACUGAGACACGGUCCAGACUCCUACGGGAGGCAGCAGUAGGGAAUCUUCCGCAAUGGGCGAAAGCCUGACGGAGCAACGCCGCGUGAGUGAAGAAGGUCUUCGGAUCGUAAAACUCUGUUAUUAGGGAAGAACAAAUGUGUAAGUAACUAUGCACGUCUUGACGGUACCUAAUCAGAAAGCCACGGCUAACUACGUG
rnacentral:rRNA from 1 species